UCCCUGUUGGCUCAGCUGGUAAAGAAUCUGCCUGCAAUGCAGAAGACCUGGGUUUGAUCCCUGGGCUGGGAA
rnacentral:tRNA from 1 species